AAGAUUGAAUUUAACCCGGAUUUUUUAGUGAAACCAUUUGAAAUCAUUGAUUUUAAAGGUGGGUAGUUCUGUUCUGUCAUUCUCUAUUCAUAACUUGUGUUUACACGAAUCUUCAAACUGUGCAUAUUUAUGUGGGUUUCAUUGGUGAACCAGUGGCGCAUGGAAGCUAAAUAUACUAUAAAUGGCAGUUGGUAAGUGGGAAUGGUCAAUUAUUUAUGGUUUGUUUUUGGUUUGCAAAAUAAUCAAAAUGUUAGUUUGACAGACGACAACAACAACAACUCGUUAUAGUUUGUUUCAAGACAUAUAGAAAAUAGAAUAAAAGAAUCAUUUUGAUUUUGUUUGAUGAUACAAACUGGAGCAUAUUAUGAUCUGUUUGUUGGAUGAUUUUAACAUAAUGUUUUAACUGAAAAUUGUUUUAUGGUACUAGAAAAGGAAGCUGUGUGUUCACUGUUGGCACAUUGAAUGAUUGGAUAAAUAAUGCUCUAUUGGAUAAAUACGUAAAGUUCAUUGGACAGCUGUGAUUGUGGUGUGGACAGCUAAGAUUGUGUUUUGGACAGCUGAGAUUGUGACUUGGACAGCUGAGAUUGUGGUGUGGACAGCUGAGAUUGGUGUGGACAGCUGAGAUUGUGGUGUUGACAUCUGAUAUUGUGAUUUGGACAGCUGAGAUUGUGACUUGGACAGCUGAGAUUGUGCUGUGGACAGCUAAAAUUGUGGUGUGGAAUAAUGAUAUUGUGGUGUUGACAACAUAUUGUGGUGUGCACAUGUGAUAUUGUGGUGUGAUGGUUUAAAGUAGCAAAGGUAAAGAACGUUUGACAGCUUAGAUUUUGGUGUGGACAGCUGAUAUUGUGGUGUGGACAGCUGAGAUUGUCAUGUGGACUACUUAUAUUGUGGCUUGCAGAGCUGAUAUUGUGGUGUGAUGGUUUAAAGUACUAAAGAUUUAUUCCUUACUACCUUCCUGUCAACUAUAUCUUCCACAGCAUGAUUUAAUCUAGUCCCAAUCAUUGACUCUGGUUACCUCACCAGACGGUCCGUCCACAGAGUCACAAGCAACAGAUACUAAAACUCGGCAAAAUACAUGUACUUCAGUCUUCCAGAGGAUAUUGUUAACAAUGAUGAUUUGAUGUAAAAAAGAAAAUGUAUUUGAAUAGCUAUAUUUCUCUUGUGUCACUUGGGUGUCAAAGGUCAUUUUAGAGAUUGUCCGGGCUGUAACUUUGUAACGCAUAAACGGGCUUAAAUGUUUGCCUCAGCUAGACAGUGUUGUGUUGAACUCCCAGUCCUUUUGACCGCUGGUGGGCUCGACAUGUUUCCUGUGGGCAUUUAGUUUAUAUUGCAUAUACUUCAAGUAGAUACACAUUUUAGAAUACCAGUAGAUAACCAAAUAAGAAAGAAAACAUUUUUUUAUUUUACAUAAUAGCAAAAUCUGGAAAAUUUUAACUUCAAUUUUCACUGUUAUAUUAUUAUAUAAUCACUUAUGAUGAGUAUGAAUGCAAUAUAGACACUGUAGACAAUUAAUCCCGCAUUUUUAUUCAUAUGAAGAUACAAUAUCUUGUUAUCUAUUAUUGUCAAUCAUUGGUAUGUAAGAUUUUUGCCAUAGGUUUGAAUAGCUGACAAGCAUGGUAGAAAUUAUUAUUAACCAUUAACGGGCUAAAUUUCUAUAAUUAACUUGUCCAUCUUUCAAUAUGGACAGUAUCAUUAAAUGAAAGGGAUGGUUACCAAAACAUACUGACUGAAUGCAAACAGUGAAGAUCUUGAUCAGGCUAUACGGAUGUGCAGGCUGAUCAUGAUCUACACUGUUCACAAAGGCAGAAUCAAUCGUGUCCAGCAUGAUAAGGGUUAAAUCCGUUGUUUUUACUGCCUCCUUUUUUGGCUCAUUAUUGU